UACGAAGGGGGCUAGCGUUGCUCGGAAUCACUGGGCGUAAAGGGCGCGUAGGCGGCCACCGCAAGUCAGUUGUGAAAUCUCUGGGCUUAACCCAGAACGGUCAGCUGAUACUGCGGGGCUAGAGUGCAGAAGGGGCAACUGGAAUUCUCGGUGUAGCGGUGAAAUGCGUAGAUAUCGAGAGGAACACCUGCGGCGAAGGCGGGUUGCUGGGCUGACACUGACGCUGACAGCGCGAAAGCUAGGGGAGCGAACGGG
rnacentral:rRNA from 1 species